UACGUAGGGGCAAGCGUUAUCCGGAUUUACUGGGCGUAAAGGGAGCGUAGGCGGACUUUUAAGUGAGAUGUGAAAUACCCGGGCUCAACUUGGGUGCUGCAUUUCAAACUGGAAGUCUAGAGUGCAGGAGAGGAGAAUGGAAUUCCUAGUGUAGCGGUGAAAUGCGUAGAGAUUAGGAAGAACACCAGUGGCGAAGGCGAUUCUCUGGACUGUAACUGACGCUGAGGCUCGAAAGCGUGGGGAGCAAACAGGAUUAGAUACCCGCGUA
rnacentral:rRNA from 1 species